rnacentral:tRNA from 1 species
CGGGGAAGUAACUCAGUUGGUUAGAGUAGUGGUCUGUCACGCCAUUUGUCGCGGGUUCAAAUCCCGUCUUUCCCGA